rnacentral:rRNA from 1 species
GAUGAACGCUGGCGGCGUGCCUAAUACAUGCAAGUCGAGCGAUGCUGGCACGGUUUUGUAACACUUUGUUAACCUCCUAUAUGACUGCUAUAACUUCGGGAAACCGGAGCUAAACCUGUUACUUAUCGUUGGAUCCGCGCUGCAUUAGCUAGUGGGUAAGGUAACGGCUUACCAAGGCAACGAUGCAUAGCCGACCUGAGAGGGGGAUCGGCAACACGGGAACUGAGACACGGUCCAGACUCCUAAGGGAGGCAGAAGUAGGGAAUCUUCCGCAAUGGGCGAAAGCCUGACGGAGCAACGCCGCGGGAGUGAUGAAGGUCUUCGGAGCGUAAAACUCUGUUAUUAGGGAAGCGGGAACUAAAGAGAAAGCAACGGCUAACUACGUGCCAGCAGCCGCGGUAAUUG